AGUGCAUGUUUCAAAUGCUUAGCUGCCUAUAAAGCUGUAACAGUUCAGCCUGUGGCUACUGAGGGAAGAAUAUAAGUUAACCUCUGUAGUGACCAUGUGGAAGUCCCGACCUUGCUUGCAGACUUGACCUCUGGAUAUGACAAGGUAGCUUCAAUACAGAUCUACCAUUUAAUCCUGGAAACUAAAAACAAACCAAAAAAUUCUCACAGCAAGAAAGAUGCAGAAUAUUUCCUGAGAAGUCAGAAGACCCCAAUGUAUUCUGGUGGGCAAAGGAAACAGGGUGAAUGUUUACAGUUAUUUGGGGGGAGUGAGGAAAAGAAGCGCUGAUUCAGCAAACAGAAUGAAGAAACAAUCAAGAUGAGAUGGCUGCUGCUGAUGUGACUCUCUAGGUCAUUAUCUCUCUUCCUGCUGCUAAUGCUGCAUGACACUAAGCUUACAGGAUCUAGAAGCAAACUACAAAAUAAGAAGAAAUUUGCUCUGAAGACUAUGAAGAAACACUAGGCUGAUCGUACCAAUUUCUGAAAUAAUAUACUCUGUAAAUCCCCACUGAUUCUAAGGAUCUCUUGCAAAAAGAACCCAACCAGGACAAAGUUCAACAUAUAACUGGUCAAUAUUUAGAAGUAUAUGUCCAUCAAGAACAAGGAACCAUGAAUGGCACUAAUGCCAUGCUUCAGUUUUUGGUCUUUGCCUAUUUUCUCAAACAGAUACUAAAAGCAAAACCGCUCAAGUAGAAGUCCACAACGACUUGACAACCAUUCUUCAUAAGGUGCCUACUAUGAGCUCAGUACAGUUCUGGACACUGGAGAUACAACAAUGCACAAGGGUUCUUCCUUAUGGAUGGCUAAAGUACAAAUGUUGACUUGACGAAAAUAAAAUAGUGGGCUGGAGGACUAUUUAUGUGGCUCUCGGUAUCAAAUAAUCUCCCUACAACUGUCUGAACUUGACUAAUCAGAGACUGAUUUGAAUGAACUGGAAAAUAAAAUAUUCACCCAGCUGGGAAAAAAAGGUCAUGUGAUGACACAGGGACACACAGACUUACAGGGAACAAGACCAUGUGAAGAAAGAGGCGGAGAAAUGAGUGAUGCAUUGACAAGCCAAUGAACGCCAAGGACUACUGACAACCACCAGAAGCCAGGAGACAGGCAUGGAAGAGAUUCUCCCAGAGUCUCCAGGAGAAACCAGUCUUGCCAACACCUUGACUUUGGACUUCUAGCCUCCAGAAUUGCAAAAAGAAUAAAUUUCUGUUGUGAAGCCACUCUGUCUGUGGUAAUUUCUUACAGCAACCCUAGGAAACUAAGACACCAUCUAAACAAUAUUAAAUCUUCUGCUCCAUAAACAUGAACUGUCUUUCCAUUUAUUUAGGUCAUCUUUAAUUUCCUUCAACAAUGUUUUAUAGUUUUUGGUAUACAAAUCUUAUAUUUA